CCUCUUUCUUGCAGUUCUUCCAACUCUGCGGCUGCGACCUUUCAUGGCUUCCACCAGCUCUUGUGAAGAACAAGCAUGAUAAUUACUGCCAAGGUCGCAGUCGUCACUGGAAGUAACAAAGGCAAUGGGUUUACCACCGUCAGAGCGCACUGCAAGCAGUUCCAAGGGGACGUUUACCUCACCGACCUCGUAGACAGAUUUGCCACGAGGGACUGAAGCCUUUGUUUCAUCAACUGGACAUCAUUGACCUGAACAGCCUUAAAACAGCUGCUGCUUUCUUUAAGGAGAAAUAUGGAGGGGUGGACAUCCUCAUCAAUAAUGCUGGGAUUGGUUUCAAAGCAACAGACACAACUCCAUUUGGGAUUCAAGCAGAGGUCACGCUGAGGACGAACUUCUUUGGCACCAGAGACGUGCUGACUCACUUUAUGCCGCUGAUCAAAGCAGAAGGCGAAAACAAUUUCGAAAGACAUUUUUUCCAUAAAUACAUCAACUUUAUCCAGAGAGAAUAUAUUUGCAGCAUUUACUCCUUUUAUUCAGAAUUUAUGUAAAUUAGUCUAGCAUGCUGGUUUUUAACUUUCAAAUUGAGGAUACAGCAAAGAAAAUUGUUCUGCUCUGACUUUGUCCCAUUCUACCCUUGUAAUUUUUUCUUUCAUUUUUCUCUCGUUCAGAAAUGAAACAGGAAACACUCUGAAGUCGCAAAAUGGAAAAAUCUGGCAUUAAUGAGGAAUGCUGAGAACUAUUUAGCACAUCUGACAGUUCGUAUCUCAUUAAAUCAGUGGCACAAAUACUGAUGUAAAAUAUUUCUGUGUGAACAUCUUCCCUUAAAUUUUUACCACAAAACAGAGAAAUAUAUAUUGUAAAUUAUAUAAGGGGUGUCCAAACUGCAAAGUAAAAAAAAAAAAAGAAUUUCAUUACCCCACCAGUAAAUUUGACAAUUUUAGCCCAGAUGACAAAAGGUUUGGACAACUCAGCUUUAUAUGCUCUUUUUUUUAAUACUAAAAUUAUAUAAUUUAAAAGCUGCCAGCUAUCCACCAAUGACGCUGCAAUCCACGUUUGAAUAGUAACAGGGAAACAAGCUCGGUUCUAUUAGACCACAAUUAGCCUAAUGCAUAUUCUGUGUGUGUUUUUUUUGGUCGUGUAGUGAAUGUAUCCAGCAUCGUCAGUUCUAGCACUUUGAGCCAGUGAUGUCCAGAACUCCAGCAGCG